UACGUAGGGGGCAAGCGUUGUCCGGAAUCAUUGGGCGUAAAGAGCGUGUAGGCGGCUCGGUAAGUCCGCUGUGAAAGUCCAGGGCUCAACCCUGGAAAGCCGGUGGAAACUGUCGAGCUUGAGUCCGGAAGAGGCGAGUGGAAUUCCUGGUGUAGCGGUGAAAUGCGCAGAUAUCAGGAGGAACACCAAUGGCGAAGGCAGCUCGCUGGGACGGUACUGACGCUGAGGCACGAAAGCUAGGGGAGCAAACGGG
rnacentral:rRNA from 1 species